rnacentral:misc_RNA from 1 species
UUUCCGUAGGUGAACCUGCGGAAGGAUCAUUACUGAAUAAACGAGGCGCCAGAGCUGUCGCUGACCCCAACGGCCGUGCACGCCUCAGUGCCCUUAACCACAACCAGCUCACCCCUAUGUGCACCACCGCGUGCCUCCGACUUUGGCUAGUUCGGAGGGGCGCUCACGUCCUCACACGAACUUCGUAAACACUGUAGAAUGUAUUUUUUGUUAUUGCGAUCACGCAUUCAAUACAACUUUUAACAAAGGAACUCAUGACUCUCGCAACGAUGAAGAACG